UGGGGAAUCUUGCACAAUGGGCGAAAGCCUGAUGCAGCAACGCCGCGUGCGGGAAGACAGCCCUAGGGUUGUAAACCGCUUUCAGCAGGGAAGAAAAUGACGGUACCUGCAGAAGAAGGUGCGGCCAACUACGUGCCAGCAGCCGCGGUGACACGUAGGCACCAAGCGUUGUCCGGAUUUAUUGGGCGUAAAGAGCUCGUAGGCGGUUCAGUAAGUCGGGUGUGAAAACUCUGGGCUCAACCCAGAGAGGCCACCCGAUACUGCUGUGACUUGAGUACGGUAGGGGAGCGGGGAAUUCCUGGUGUAGCGGUGAAAUGCGCAGAUAUCAGGAGGAACACCAGUGGCGAAGGCGCUGCUCUGGGCUGUAACUGACGCUGAGGAGCGAAAGCAUGGGUAGCAAACAGGAUUAGAUACCCUGGUAGUCCAUGCCGUAAACGUUGGGCACUAGGUGUGGGUCUCAACCAACGAGAUCCGCGCCGUCGCUAACGCAUUAAGUGCCCCGCCUGGGAGUACGGUCGCAAGAUUAAAACUCAAAGGAAUU
rnacentral:rRNA from 1 species